rnacentral:misc_RNA from 1 species
GUUGGAUUUGCGGAAGCUGCAUAAGUGAAUUAGCUUUAAUACUUUGGUUCUGUUCUGUGUUGUACACCCUUGAUCUUCCUCCGUUUGUAUGCUUUUUACAUAAAAGUGUCGUGUGGUUGACUUUGAAGUGUCGGAAUUAAAACUCAUGUAAAUAUCAGAACAGGAAUGUGCCUUGUUAUGUUGUCAAACUAGUACUGUACUUUAACGUCUCGGAGUUUUAAGUUUGACUAUAAAUGUUGGGUCUUGGAAAAGAUUGCCUUAUAUAAUAUAUUAUAAAUUUUAUAAUCA